ACAUUUAAUUUUAAAAGAUUAAAAUUAACAUACACUCCCUUCAAUAAACUUCAAACGGAAAUAAAUUUAUACGUGUAUAAAUCUUUAGUUGAUAGUUUUUUUGUCUGAAAUGUUUAAAGGCGAACUAUUUGGCUAUUUGACCAUUUUUUAUUUAAUUAUCUUAGCAACGCGAGACAGCACAGAUGCGGCGCCAGUACGAGCAGGGAUAAAACGAAUAAUUGAAAUCAAACCGGAACCAGUUUCAAGGAACGACUUUUUAGAGCUAAUGCCAGAGAUAGAGAAGGCAAUGACAAAUGUAAUGGACUAUUCGAUAACCCACGAACAGCUCCCAAAAAGAAAAAAAAAGCCACGGAAGUAUGUAGCUUCCCAAAGAAGGCGCCAAAAUAAAAAAAUGCCGACGAUCAAAGCCAAGUCCAAUGAUCAGGAAUCAAACCGCGAUAAACCAAAUAAAAAUAAUGUCGAUAAAUCCGAGAUAACCUUACCGACACUAGGAGUUAUGGAACGAAGGAACUUUGUAAACCUCAGAAUGAAUCCAUAUAUGAGAGCCCCGGGUGACGCAUACAAUCCACAAGAAGGUGCUCUUCCAUCCGUGUGCAUUGAUAGGUCGACUAUAUACAAUAUACCUAGAGUUGAAAAAUAUUUGGAUGUCGAAAAUAUUCUGGUAGCUGUUUGGAAUGAAUAUAAUUAUAAGGAUUGGCUAAAUGCUCGGGUACUGCAAAUGGACUUGCGAACCGAGCUAUUUGCAAAUGGCAAUUCUGAAGAGUGCCACACAACUGACUAUAGAGAUUGGCGAAGCUUCUUGGAGUGUUCCCUGAAACGUCACCAGCGAAUGGAAUACAUGAUUCCAAAAUAUCCGUUACACCAAAUACCCUAUCAUUUUUGGACAAUUCUCAGAGGAAACACAAUUAAUUAAUGUAACUAAGAUGCAGUGCUAUAGUAACUAACUGGAAUACACAAUGCUGAUUGUAAAUUAUUAAAUAACUAGACAAAAAGCACUCAAUAUAAAUGUGCCUAUUUAUAUUUUUUAAAAA